rnacentral:lncRNA from 1 species
CAGGACCCAUUAGUUCAGAGGAGCCUUGCCGCUCGGUGCAGGAUGAGAGAUGGUGCCGGCACUGUGGCACAGCGGCCUGAGAGGAGAACAGUAGUAGCUGGAUGGCCAGCUUUACAUGGAUCCCCAGAGAACUGAAAGUCUGAUACAACAAUUGUAAAAAUGCACACCUUUGACCUUUUCAAUAAUGGAUGAAGAAAUCUAACUCCAAGAAAUCAAAAUCCC